UACGUAGGUGACGAGCGUUAUCCGGAAUUAUUGGGCGUAAAGCGCACGCAAGCGGUUUUGCAAGUCUGACGUGAAAUCUCCUGGCUUAACUGGGAGCGGUCGUUGGAAACUGCAGAGCUUGAGGCGAUGAGAGGGGUGCAGAAUUCCCGGUGUAGUGGUGGAAUGCGUAGAGAUCGGGGGGAAUACCUGUGGCGAAAGCGGCACCCUGGCGUCGUUCUGACGCUCAUGUGCGAAAGCGUGGGGAGCGAACGGG
rnacentral:rRNA from 1 species